rnacentral:rRNA from 1 species
UAGAGACCGGCGCACGGGUGCGUAACGCGUAUGCAAUCUACCUUGACAGGGGGAUAGCCCAGAGAAAUUUGGAUUAAUACCCCAUAGUAUUAUUGAAUGGCAUCAUUUAAUUAUUAAAGUUCCAACGGUACAAGAUGAGCAUGCGUCCUAUUAGCUAGUUGGUGUGGUAACGGCACACCAAGGCUACGAUAGGUAGGGGUCCUGAGAGGGAGAUCCCCCACACUGGUACUGAGACACGGACCAGACUCCUACGGGAGGCAGCAGUGAGGAAUAUUGGACAAUGGGCGCAAGCCUGAUCCAGCCAUGCCGCGUGCAGGAAGAAGCAUCUAUGGUGUGUAAACUGCUUUUGUACGGGAAGAAACACUGCU